rnacentral:rRNA from 1 species
CCUACGGGCGGCUGCAGUGGGGAAUAUUGGACAAUGGGGGGAACCCUGAUCCAGCGACGCCGCGUGAGUGAAGAAGUAUUUCGGUAUGUAAAGCUCUAUCAGCAGGGAAGAAAGAAAUGACGGUACCUGACUAAGAAGCCCGGGCUAACUACGUGCCAGCAGCCGCGGUAAUACGUAGGGGGCAAGCGUUAUCAGGAUUUACUGGGUGUAAAGGGAGCGUAGACGGCGAUGCAAGUCUGAAGUGAAAGGCGGGGGCCCAACCCCCGGACUGCUUUGGAAACUGUAUGGCUGGAGUGCGGGAGAGGUAGGUGGAAUUCCUAGUGUAGCGGUGAAAUGCGUAGAUAUUAGGAGGAACACCAGUGGCGAAGGCGGCUUACUGGACUGUAACUGACGUUGAGGCUCGAAAGCGUGGGGAGCAAACAGGAUUAGAUACCCUGGUAGUC